GGACGCGUAGCUCAGUGGUAGAGCACUGUGUUGACAUCGCAGGGGUCGCUGGUUCAAUCCCAGCCGUGUCCACCA
rnacentral:tRNA from 1 species